rfam:Loxodonta africana unplaced genomic scaffold scaffold_29, whole genome shotgun sequence.
AAGUCAAGCCAUACCACCCUGAAAGCACCUGACCUCGUCUGGUCUCAGAAGCUAAGCAGAGUCAGGCCUGGUUAGUACUUGAAUGGGAGACUGCCUGGAAUACCAUGCCUUAGGCAAC